AUACGGAGGAUGCAAGCGUUAUCCGGAUUUAUUGGGUUUAAAGGGUGCGUAGGCGGUUUGCUAAGAGGGAGGUGAAAUGCCGGCGCUCAACGUCGGAAGUGCCUCCCGAACUGGUGGACUUGAAUGACUCUGCCGUGGGAGGAAUGUGUAGUGUAGCGGUGAAAUGCUUAGAGAUUACACAGAACACCGAUUGCGAAGGCAGCUCACGAUGGGUUGAUUGACACUUAAGCACGAAAGCGUGGAGAUCAAACAGGAUUAGAUACCCUGGUAGUCCACGCAGUAAACGAUGAUGGCUAACCGCUGGGCAUAUCAGUUCAGUGGCCAAGCGAAAGCGAUAAGCCAUCCACCUGGGGAGUACGACCGCAAGGUUGAAACUCAAAGGAAUUGACGGGG
rnacentral:rRNA from 1 species